rnacentral:rRNA from 1 species
GAUGAACGCUGGCGGCGUGCUUAACACAUGCAAGUCGAGCGAGAAGUUUUGAAAAGAUUCUUCGGAUGAAAUUUAAAAUGGAAAGCGGCGGACGGGUGAGUAACGCGUAGGCAACCUGCCCCAUACAAAGGGAUAGCAUUUGGAAACGAAUAUUAAUACCUUAUGAAACUUAACUAGUGCAUGCUAGGUAGGUCAAAGAUUUAUCGGUAUGGGAUGGGCCUGCGUCUGAUUAGCUAGUUGGUGAGGUAACGGCUCACCAAGGCGACGAUCAGUAGCCGACCUGAGAGGGUGAACGGCCACAUUGGAACUGAGACACGGUCCAAACUCCUACGGGAGACAGCAGUGGGGAAUAUUGCACAAUGGGGGAAACCCUGAUGCAGCAACGCCGCGUGAACGAUGAAGGCCUUUGGGUCGUAAAGUUCUGUUCUAGGUGAUGAAAACUGACAGUAACCUAGGAGAAAGCCCCGGCUAACUCCGUG